CAUUCAGGAACGAAUCACCGUCAUGUUGCUCAGAGACGCUGUGACUGUGUUUGGAACUAUUUUUGUUGGCGAAAUAGAGCAAAAAUAGGCAAUAUGGUGUCUAAAACAAGGAAGAAAGACAUACAGGAAUGACAUGAAGGUAUACUGUAGGUGAGCCAGGUUACCCACAGUUCAUCUGGCUCUGUGCCUUUCAAUCACCAAGCCGUCUCUGAGGGUGGAAAAUCUGUCAGUGGGUGCCGCUCCGCCUGCCGGAGAUUGAUAGCUGUGACCUUAGCUGCUGCAACUCUGCCACCAUGGUCCAACAAUUUUACAUAUUAAUUUAUGUUCUGUAGGGUUGUAAUUGAGAGAGGAGGAGGGAGCGGGCUAUUUGCAGAGAGAUGAAUGCCCCUCUCUCUAUGAUUUAUGACACUUUCAUCACCUUUUGUAAGGCUUGUUUAAACAGGGCAUGUAUACGUUGCCUUCACAGGUGAGUAAAACAGGGUCAUGUUUGCAUAAAAGCCUAAAUUAUGGGUGGAGAUAUGCUGCCGGGGAGAGGAGAGAGGAUAGGAUUAUGGGCGGAGAAAUAAUUAAAUAGAAUUUAUAUGAUGUAUGGAAACACUAUGAUUUGUUUUACCGGUGUAUUUGUUAGGAUGGCCAGUCAGUAUAAAUGAAAUAAUGUGUGAACUUUUGUAUGAAAUUUAGCAUCAGCAAUGGUUGAUUUAUUAUAGAUAAAAGGAUAAUUCUCAGACAGAUGAGAACCAUGCAUGAACCAUGUGAUUGAAU